UGUGAUGUUUUCAAUAUUUAUUUUUGUAUUUUUAUUUAGAAAUGCAAUCAAAAUUUCUUUCAGAAAUUGUGUGAUAUGAAAACAUUCAUUGAGAAAUAUAAUACACGGGGCAUCUUUUUGUCGUGUCGAGAUAUUUUCAUGGAAUUAACCACCAAUGUUUUUGCUUUAAUAACCUCUAGCUUACCUAUACAGCGUGUUACAAAAAAUCUGUAAAAUUAAAAUAUUUGUUUUAAUUAUAUUUUACAAACAAAUUUAAGACCUAAAUUUUAAAUUUUUUCCUAACAAAAUAAUGAGUAAAAAGAAAACUCAACAAAAGGCACCCGUAUCGAAGCAAGAUCAACAAAUUAAUGAACCACGAUGUUGCUGUUCAAGGCAGAAAAGUUCUACGCGUAUAAGAUGCGAUAAAAAUCGCGUCACAAUAUUCGGUCAAGUGGAGCAAAAUGAAAAUGAUAAAUACACACUUGAAUAUGCUGCUAAAAUAAAUGAUAUGCCUAUGUCACCGGAGUUUUUUUCGCAAUACUAUAAUAAACUAGAUG